UAAACGACUCUCGGCAACGGAUAUCUCGGCUCACGCAUCGAUGAAGAACGUAGCAAAAUGCGAUACUUGGUGUGAAUUGCAGAAUCCCGUGAACCAUCGAGUUUUUGAACGCAAGUUGCGCCCGAAGCCGUUCGGUUGAGGGCACGUCUGCCUGGGCGUCACGC
rnacentral:rRNA from 3 species